CAACAAUGCCUGAUGAGCUCAUCAAGAGUGUCUAUAGCAGCCAUUGCAAAGAAUUCUAUUGCAUUUGGACUCUGGGGCUCAAGCUUCGUGGAAAUGGAUCCUACUAUUUUUCCAGAAAUGAUGACCCUAUUGUUCAAAAGCUGCACAGCACAUAAGUUUCCAGGACCCCCAGUGAAAGGACCUGUGGGACAUGAGGUCUGUCUGAGGACCAACAUAACAUAUUGGCCACCUUUCUCUCUUGAAGAAUUUGGCUUGUCUGGGUAAUGAAGGACCAGAUAGAAUGAAGAUUCCUUUAGGCACCUUCAAGACACACUUUUACCAUCUUCUAAUUGCAACAAUGGGGAACAUCAGGAAGACAAUGCAGUCAGUGGACAUAAAGUGUUUACAAUAAAUUGUGUUCCUGCAAAUGGAACUGUUCAAGGAACUUUGGAAAAUCCACAUAGAUUCUGAGGUCUUUUUCUGUCAAGUAGUUACUGGAAAGGUACUUCUCAGAAUUCUAUAGUUAAUCCAGUUAUCCUUUUGUGCAUCCAUGUCAGCAGGCUCUACCUCUCUAGACUCACCUUUGUGUUUCAGAUCAAAUUAAUUAUUAAAUUUUGGUGGUGGGUAAAGGGAACAAAAAAAAUCUGACUUCAGGAAGGCACCAUCUGUAUUUAUUAAUAAUUCAAAUUAUCAAGCAUAGCUAUUCAUAGUUGAGUUCAGUGUCCUAUUCCUCCUCUUUUUCCUCCCUUCUCGUUACCUCGUCACCAUCCCAUUCCCCUUAUUACUGCACUCCUUUGCCCUCUUCUUAAUGUAAGAUAGAUAUUUGUUCAGUUGUCCCCUGUAUGUAGAUCUCAGAAAAGAAAAAUAAAGCAGCCUAUCUAAAAA